rnacentral:rRNA from 1 species
UGGUGGAGUGAUUUGUCUGGUUAAUUCCGUUAACGAACGAGACCUCGACCUGCUAAAUAGUACGGCACGCCCUUCGGGCGUGGCCGAGACUUCUUAGAGGGACUAUCGGUUGUGAGCCGGUGGAAGUUCGAGGCAAUAACA